UCAGUCGACUCCUACGGGGAGGCAGCAGUGGGGGAAUAUUGCACAAUGGGCGCGAAGCCUGAUGCAGCCAUGCCGCGUGUAUGAAGAAGACCGUUCGGGUUGUAAAGUACUUUACAGCAGUGAGGAAGGUGGGUAUGUUAAUAGCAUAUUCAUUUGACGUUAGCUGCAGAAGAAGCACCGGCUAACUCCGUGCCAGCAGCCGCGGUAAUACGGAGGGUGCGAGCGUUAAUCGGAAUUACUGGGACGUAAAGCGCAUGCAGGUGGUUUGUUAAGUCAGAUGUGAAAGGACCCGGGGCGUCAACCUACGGAAUUGCAUUUAGUAAACUGGACAAACUAGAGUACUGUAGAGGGGGGUAGGAAUUUCAGGUGUAGCGGUGAAAUGCGUAGAGAUCUGAAGGAAUACCGGUGGCGAAGGCGGCCCCCUGGACAGAUACUGACACUCAGAUGCGAAAGCGUGGGGAGCAAACAGGAUUAGAUACCCUGGUAG
rnacentral:rRNA from 1 species